rnacentral:rRNA from 1 species
AUUGAACGCUGGCGGCAGGCCUAACACAUGCAAGUCGAGCGGAUGAAGGGAGCUUGCUCCUGGAUUCAGCGGCGGACGGGUGAGUAAUGCCUAGGAAUCUGCCUGGUAGUGGGGGAUAACGUCCGGAAACGGGCGCUAAUACCGCAUACGUCCUGAUGGAGAAAGUGGGGGAUCUUCGGACCUCACGCUAUCAGAUGAGCCUAGGUCGGAUUAGCUAGUUGGUUGGGUAAAGGCCUACCAAGGCGACGAUCCGUAACUGGUCUGAGAGGAUGAUCAGUCACACUGGAACUGAGACACGGUCCAGACUCCUACGGGAGGCAGCAGUAGGGAAUAUUGGACAAUGGGCGAAAGCCUGAUCCAGCCAUGCCGCGUGUGUGAAGAAGGUCUUCGGAUUGUAAAGCACUUUAAGUUGGGAGGAAGGGCAGUAAGUUAAUACCUUGCUGUUUUGACGUUACCAAAAGAAUAAGCACCGGCUAACUUCGUG